rnacentral:rRNA from 1 species
CAAGCCCUGGAAACGGGGUCUAAUACCGGAUAUGACUGUCCAUCGCAUGGUGGAUGGUGUAAAGCUCCGGCGGUGCAGGAUGAGCCCGCGGCCUAUCAGCUUGUUGGUGAGGUAGUGGCUCACCAAGGCGACGACGGGUAGCCGGCCUGAGAGGGCGACCGGCCACACUGGGACUGAGACACGGCCCAGACUCCUACGGGAGGCAGCAGUGGGGAAUAUUGCACAAUGGGCGAAAGCCUGAUGCAGCGACGCCGCGUGAGGGAUGACGGCCUUCGGGUUGUAAACCUCUUUCAGCAGGGAAGAAGCGAAAGUGACGGUACCUGCAGAAGAAGCGCCGGCUAACUACGUGCCAGCAGCCGCGGUAAUACGUAGGGCGCAAGCGUUGCCCGGAAUUAUUGGGCGUAAAGAGCUCGUAGGCGGCUUGUCACGUCGGUUGUGAAAGCCCGGGGCUUAACCCCGGGUCUGCAGUCGAUACGGGCAGGCUAGAGUUCGGUAGGGGAGAUCGGAAUUCCUGGU